CCUACGGGAGGCAGCAGUGAGGAAUAUUGGUCAAUGGACGAGAGUCUGAACCAGCCAAGUAGCGUGAAGGAUGACUGCCCUAUGGGUUGUAAACUUCUUUUAUAUGGGAAUAAAACGUUCCACGUGUGGGAUUUUGUAUGUACCAUAUGAAUAAGGAUCGGCUAACUCCGUGCCAGCAGCCGCGGUAAUAAGGAGGAUCAGAGUGUUAUCCGGAUUUAUUGGGUUUAAAGGGAGCGUAGGUGGAUUGUUAAGUCAGUUGUGAAAGUUUGCGGCUCAACCGUAAAAUUGCAGUUGAAAAUGGCAGUCUUGAGUACAGUAGAGGUGGGCGGAAGUCGUGGUGUAGCGGUGAAAUGCUUAGAUAUCACGAAGAACUCCGAUUGCGAAGGCAGUUCACUGGACUGCAACUGACACUGAGGCUCGAAAGUGUGGGUAUCAAACAGGAUUAGAUACCCCAGUAGUC
rnacentral:rRNA from 1 species